rnacentral:tRNA from 1 species
GGGGAUGUAGCUCAGUUGGUAGAGUGCUUGCCUUGCAUGCACAAGGCCCUGGGUUCAAUCCCCAGCACCA